UAUGCUUAGGGUGUGAACUUUAAAAAGAUAUGGAAGAUUGAAUCAUAUUGUUUAGACUAGUAUCAUGGUAUGACAUGUUGUAUUUUUGUGACUUGGAGUUAGGCUUGAUCGCAGUGAAAGGAUUUAAGCUACUAUAGACAUUGUAGAAAGAGCUAUCAAUGCCCAUAUGAGAAUUAUAAGUUGAAUGGAAUGAAUAUGGUAUUUAAGGGAAAUAGUAUAGUUAAGGGAGUAUUAAAGAAGUGUGCUAAGCUUG
rnacentral:lncRNA from 1 species